rnacentral:rRNA from 1 species
CAGUCGCCGCGGUAAUACGAAGGGUGCAAGCGUUAAUCGGAAUUACUGGGCGUAAAGCGUGCGUAGGCGGUGAGUUAAGUCUGCUGUGAAAUCCCCGGGCUCAACUUGGGAAUGGCAGUGGAUACUGGCUCGCUAGAGUGUGUCAGAGGAUGGUGGAAUUCCCGGUGUAGCGGUGAAAUGCGUAGAGAUCGGGAGGAACAUCAGUGGCGAAGGCGGCCAUCUGGGACAACACUGACGCUGAGGCACGAAAGCGUGGGGAGCAAACAGGAUUAGAUACCCCCGUAGUCCCUGUCUCUUAUAC